GCCCGGUUAGCUCAAUCGGUAGAGUAAGUUCUCACUUGCAUAUAUCUAUAAAACGAUUCCAUCACUAACCAAUUCAACAGGCGUGAGACUCUUAAUCUCAAGGUUGCGGGUUCGACCCCCGCAUCGGGCU